GGUCCCAUGGUGUAAUUGGCAGCACUCAGGACUUUGAAUCCUGAAAUCUGAGUUCAAAUCUCAGUGGGACCU